rnacentral:rRNA from 1 species
AUUGAACGCUGGCGGCAGGCUUAACACAUGCAAGUCGAGCGAGCGGCGGACGGGUGAGUAAUGUCUGGGAAACUGCCUGAUGGAGGGGGAUAACUACUGGAAACGGUAGCUAAUACCGCAUACCAUCAGAUGUGCCCAGAUGGGAUUAGCUAGUAGGUGGGGUAAUGGCUCACCUAGGGGACGAUCCCUAGCUGGUCUGAGCGGAUGACCAGCCACACGGGAACUGAGACACGGUCCAGAGUCCUACGGGAGGCAGCAGUGGGGAUUAUUGCACAAUGGGGGCAGGCCUGAUGCAGCAAUGCCGCGGGUGGGAAGAAGGCCUUCGGGUUGUAAAGCACUUUCAGCGAGGAGGCGUUACUCGCAGAAGAAGCACCGGCUAACUCCGUGCCAGCAGCCGCGGUAAUUC